GGGGAUUUAGCUCAGUGAUAGAGCGCUUGCCUAGCAAGCGCAAGGCCCUGGGUUCAAUCCCCAGCUCCG
rnacentral:tRNA from 1 species